rnacentral:rRNA from 1 species
GAUGAACGCUAGCGGGAGGCCUAACACAUGCAAGCCGAGCGGUAUUGUUUCUUCGGAAAUGAGAGAGCGGCGUACGGGUGCGGAACACGUGUGCAACCUGCCUUUAUCUGGGGGAUAGCCUUUCGAAAGGAAGAUUAAUACUCCAUAACAUAUUGAUUGGCAUCAAUUGAUAUUGAAAGCUCCGGCGGAUAGAGAUGGGCACGCGCAAGAUUAGCUAGUUGGUGAGGUGACGGCUCACCAAGGCGAUGAUCUUUAGGGGGCCUGAGAGGGUGAUCCCCCANACUGGUACUGAGACACGGACCAGACUCCUACGGGAGCAGCAGUGAGGAAUAUUGGUCAAUGGGUGCAAGCCUGAACCAGCCAUCCCGCGUGAAGGACGACUGCCCUAUGGGUUGUAAACUUCUUUUGUAUAGGGAUAAACCUACCCUCGUGAGGGUAGCUGAAGGUACUAUACGAAUAAGCACCGGCUAACUCCGUGCCAGCAG